GGACUCGUAGCUCAGUUGGUUAGAGCGUUCGGUUCACAUCCGAAAGGUCGGAGGUUCAAAUCCCCCCGGGUCCA
rfam:Candidatus Woykebacteria bacterium RIFCSPHIGHO2_01_FTLL_39_12 rifcsphigho2_01_scaffold_39132, whole genome shotgun sequence.